rnacentral:rRNA from 1 species
GACAGAGGGUGCAAACGUUGUUCGGAAUUACUGGGCGUAAAGCGCGUGUAGGCUGCUUCGCAAGUCGGAUGUGAAAGCCCUGGGCUCAACCUAGGAAGUGCAUUCGAAACUGCGAAGCUUGAGUCCUGGAGAGGAAGGCGGAAUUCUCGGUGUAGAGGUGUAAUUCGUAGAUAUCGAGAGGAACACCGGUGGCGAAGGCGGCCUUCUGGACAGUGACUGACGCUGAGACGCGAAAGCGUGGGGAGCAAACAGG